rnacentral:tRNA from 1 species
UCUGAUAUGGUGUAGUGGCUAACAUUAUCGCCUCUCACGCAAUAGGCCGGGGUUCAAUUCCCCGUGUCGGAA